rnacentral:snRNA from 1 species
AUCUAUAUAUAUAUAUAUAUAUA